GGCCGGCAGCGGCAGGCGGGGGAGGAGGGGGGCGGAGGAGGAGGACGACGACGAUGAUGAUGAUGAUGAUGAGGAGGAGGAUGAGGAGGGCAUCCCCGCGCAUGGCGGCCAGGGUUGGCACCGCGGCCGCGGCCGUCGGGUGACCUGGGUGCCCCGGGCCGGGCGCGGCGCUGGCCGCGGGCUGUGAGGGCGGCGGGAAGCGGCGGCGGCGGCGGCCACCCCAUCGCCAGGCGCUGCCACUGCCCCCCCGGUCCUCGGUACUUUUCGCGACCCUGCGGGUGCGCGGCCCUGGCGUUGCGGCGGGGCCGCGGGUAGCCCGCCCCGGGCAGUCGCGACUGAGGGGCGAGUCGCGAUUGGCGUCUGUGGCUUAGGCGAGAGCAGCCCGAGUGGCGUGUUCAGUUGUGUUAAGGGAAGAAGAAGGUAUCCUAUCAUGAGAAAAAAAAAGAAGAAACAUGCAAAGCCAGAAGAAAUUAUGUUCUAAACCCAAGACCUAUUUUGUUUUGCUUUUUUAAUGUGUAUUAGUACAUCAGAAGAGAAUUUUUAAUAGUGUCUACCACUCAGAAGUCCCAUCAGGAACCUACUAAAUACAAAUGAAAAACUAGACUCUGUUAUAUAUCCCUUGUUUUUAAUUUAGACUUUGACUGAGCCAGAGGCUGUAACUGUAGAUCAUCUGGGAAGAAUCUGAAUAAAAAAGCAAGAUCAGAAAUGACGCAAUGUUUGUCUUUGCCUUUUUUAUUUUUUACUCUCUGUAUACUAUGACUUCAAGAUAAAACCUUAGGUUCAGAAAGCAAUACGAGCCAUAAAAACUAGGUUUUGAAAGUAAAAGACUGCAGCUUGCUUCAUAAAGAAGGGGAAAUCCUAGGCCAAAGCCAAUGAAACCAAAAUAUUCUUGGGCCUGUCCUGGAAAGUUUUAUGGCAUAUAAAGAUCGGAUACUAGAAUGACAAUCACUGAACUGAGGCAAAUUCAGGAGCAACAGCAGUUGUAGCACAUCAAAAACAGCAACUGGGGCUCUGGCUUUGGGCCCAAGCUGCCAUCGGUUUUCUUUUUCACAUCAGCUGUUGAGUGACCAAGUAUCACAACUGCCACAACUGGGUGUACAAGGUGGGAAGUCGAGCAAAUCAUGAGAGCAAAUCAGCGGUAGGCGAACGAGUAAAUGACACUCUUAUUAGGCAGAGUUUAGAACUGUAAACUGACAGGGAUUGAACUGUGACUGUCAUGAUGAAAUGUCCUGGUGUUGCACAAGAUCACAGCGUAUGCCACAGCCUUCAAAUUACACGAGUAUAAGAAGGGAAUAGAGCUCUUGGACUGUAACAGUGUUGUUAAGAUGAUAAGUUUGUCUGGGAAUAUAUUAUGUGAUAACAUUGCCAACCCUAGGUGAGAAAUGAUCUGGACAGUCACAAUCGUCCUCUUCAGCCUUGACAUUAGACCUGUUUCUGCAAGAAUCAGGAUCGGUCCUUUCCUCUUAGGGAUGGAGUUUAUACCACUUUAGCCAGAAUUGGAGAGUUGGCUGAAUUAGAACUCUCCUAAUAAUCCACAGAGAACUGACUAAUAUCAUGAUAAACAAUCUCUGCAGCUCUUGCUGUAACCAUCAGCACUAUCUGAGAUCGAAUAUUAUUACUAUUCAUCAUCAAUAUCCUCUGCCUCAGGAUGUCAUUUCUAAGAUAUCAUGGGAAUCUGGGACUUCUGUGAUGUAGAAUUUGAAAAAUGGAGCUGUUGGUGAAAGAAACCAGGUGUAGGAGGUCUUCUGUGUAACUACACAUUCCCCUUGAAAAGCUGUUGCAGUAUGCAUCAGGAGUCAAGACAACACUCCAAGAGGCUAGAGGUCAGCAUGGAAAUGCACGGUUGAAUGAAAAGCACAUCCUGAACUCCCAAAAAAGAACUACUGAGGAAGCUACAAGGAGGCUCCUCUUCGCUGUAGACCUUUUCAGAUCUUUGGCCUCGCGCUGCAUGUGUAGUACAGACAACUAUGAUGCCAGCUCUAAGCGUGUUCCCUGUUUUUCUGUAUUGUUAUACUAUCGCUAAAUAUCUAGUAAUUCACUUGAAAUACUUGGCAGCAUACAGCAAAGCAAAUUCUCUGAACGUCUUGCUUCACCAUUUCACCAAAGCCCUGAAGAGAGAAUCUGGGAAAGGAGGAGCCUGGUGUUCUGACCCUGCCAGGCAGGCAUGGAGAGACUUGAGUCGUGUUUAAAAACCAAUCUAUAUCCGAUUAGUGAAUGUUUGCCACAGCCCUGGAAGGUAUAUAAUAGUCCUGUGGUAUAAUAUAGUACUGUGUUGAGUUUUGGGUCCCUCACUACAGGAGAGAAGUGUCCAGAGAAGGGCAACAAAGCUGGUGAGGGGCUAGAGCACAGGUCUUAUGAGGAGCGGCUGAGGCAACUGGGGUUGUUUAGCCUGGAGAAAAGAAGGCUGAGGGGAGACCUUCUCACUCUCUACAACUACCUGAAAGGAGGUUGUAGAGAGGUGGGAGUUGGUCUCUUCUGCCAGGUAACAGGCGAUAGGACAAGAGGAAAUGGCCUCAAGUUGCGCCAGGGGAGGUUUAGGAUGGAUAUUAGGAAAAAUUUCUUCACAGAAAGGUUUAUCAAGCAUUGGAACAGGCUGCCCAGGGAAUUGGUUGAGUCACCAUCCCUGGAGAUAUUUAAAAGACGUGUAGAUGUGGUGCUGAGGGACAUGGUUUAAUGGUAACUCGGCAGUGUUAGGUUAAUGGUUGGACUUGAUGAUCUUAAAGGUCUCUUCCAACCUAAACAAUUCUAUGAUUCUAUGAUUAUAAAUAUUGCUCUGUUUUACAGGAAUCUGGGAUGGAAGAGGACAAAUUCUGCUAUGCUAUAAAAAAUGCCUGAUAAACUUAGCAAGCACUUAAAAAUAUAUUCUUAGCAAGAAAAAAAAAUGUUAUAUACAGAUGUGUUUGUCUUGGUGGUAUCUGGUGAAUCUGGGAAUCGAAUUCAGUUAGAACGAGGAUGUUGUGCUCUUCAGAUGACAAUACUGCCCUAAAUAUCAUCUGAGAAUACCCUGUGUUUCUUGUCACUGCUUAAGGCAUCAGUCCAGAACACAUUAUUUCUUUGCACUCUUUGCUUUUAUGAUUUAGCAAAAAGAAACUUUUUUUUCUUUUCCUCUGAGUGGAUGUCACUUGAAUAUAACCAGAACAGCCACAGCUGAUUUUGAACAUCUUGAAGGAACCUAUUACACAAAUAAAGUGCACUUUGGGGCUUCUAUAUUGAUGAGUUAAAAGAAAGACGUUUUCAAAUUGAUGCAUGCUUGGGAAUGCUAAUGAGCAGUCUUGGACAUAUGACUAAACAGCAACGUUAGAAUGCUAGUGAGUAGUCCUCUUCCCCAGGCUGUGUCUGCCAAACAAUAGCUAGAAAUUUUAUUUUAAUCACAAAACCUUCUUCCUCUGUACAUGGAUUUCCUUCUCUUUCUUUUGUUUUCUUUUUCUUACUGGCCAAAUAGGAGACUAUACGGCCAAAUAUGAUGUGCUAUUUAGCACUGGCAAAUGAAGGUGUCAGCAUGGAAAAAAUGAUAGGGGAAGUUAAAGACAUUUAAGAAAUUAGAGAGAAGUAAUUAAGAGCAUGGAGAUUUUUUGUUUCCUUUAUUAAAGGAGCUUAUAUUGAACAAACAGUGAGAAAUACAUACAUGAACCAAGAAGAAGACAGACGCUAAAGACAAAACUGCUGAGAGCACAACAAAGUUAUAGUUUCUUGGUCCAGGGACCAUCAAAAGGAAAAAUCAGUAUCAUCCAAGGUUAAAAGUAACGUAAAACUCCUAAGUGGCCAUAACUGUCCAAACAGGAAGGAAUGAUAGAGCAGUUAAAUUACACUGAACAUAAAUUAAACACAUUUGUCAAUGAGUUCUAAUGGCGAGAUACAGGGACUUUUAUGCAGGUGAAAUCUCACGAAGAAGCAACUUCUCCUAUAUAUUGACUAGGUUUGAAUAAUAUCCUUUAUAUUAAUGAUUCUUUCAAAAGAGAAUGUCACCUUGCAUUUUUCCUACAAUGGAUAAUAUAAUGAGACCCAUCAGCUCUUCUAAAAAUAAUAUUCAUGUUUUUCGAUCAAAAAAUUAUAUCAACAAAGUGGUUCUUUAAA